rnacentral:rRNA from 1 species
GUGGGGAAUAUUGCACAAUGGGCGCAAGCCUGAUGCAGCAACGCCGCGUGAGGGACGACGGCCUUCGGGUUGUAAACCUCUUUUAGCAGGGAAGAAGCGAAAGUGACGGUACCUGCAGAAAAAGCACCGGCUAACUACGUGCCAGCAGCCGCGGUAAUACGUAGGGUGCAAGCGUUGUCCGGAAUUAUUGGGCGUAAAGAGCUCGUAGGCGGUUUGUCGCGUCUGCUGUGAAAACCCGAGGCUCAACCUCGGGCCUGCAGUGGGUACGGGCAGACUAGAGUGCGGUAGGGGAGAUUGGAAUUCCUGGUGUAGCGGUGGAAUGCGCAGAUAUCAGGAGGAACACCGAUGGCGAAGGCAGAUCUCUGGGCCGUAACUGACGCUGAGGAGCGAAAGCGUGGGGAGCGAACAGGAUUAGAAACCCUAGUAGUCC